rnacentral:lncRNA from 10 species
GAAAAGAGAGAAGCAGACACAGAGAGAAGAUAGGUCCCUGGAGCAGCCUCAGAUCCUAAGGAUUUCCCCAUCCAGGCUGAGAUUUAAGGGUAAUUCUCUUUCUCCUCAGGUUUUGAAUGGCCUUGUCCCUGCAUCAGGUGAUAGAUGGGUCUGCCCCCUGCAUCAGAUGAUUGGUGAUUCUGCCCCCUGCAUCAGACUUGAUUCAUCUGCACGCUCCAUGGAGGCUUGGUUUCAGAUGUACCAUCAUGCUGAUGUCUAUAGGCACAUCUCAGGAUCCUUUCAGACAGAGGAAUGGGAAGGUGAUGAUGUCCAAGCAAGGAGGAUGUGUUUUUCUCCAACUCUGAAGUCCCACUCAACAAGAGACUAUGGUUUGAAUGUGUGUGUCCUCUCCAGAAUUCAUGCUGAAACCUGAACACAAAUGUGAUAGUAUUAAGAGUAGGGCCUUUAGGAGGUCAUGAGGGUGGAUCCCUCGUGAAUAGGAUUAGUGACCUUAUGAACAGGCUGGAACUUA